AUUGAACGCUGGCGGCAGGCCUAACACAUGCAAGUCGAGCGAGUGGCGGACGGGUGAGUAAUGUAUGGGGACUGCCCGAUAGAGGGGGAUAACUACUGGAAACGGUAGCUAAUACCGCAUACUAUCGGAUAACCCAUAUGGGAUUAGCUAGUAGGUGAGGUAAUGGCUCACCUAGGCGACGAUCCCUAGCUGGUCUGAGAGGAUGAUCAGCCACACUGGGACUGAGACACGGCCCAGACUCCUACGGAGGCAGCAGUGGGGAAUAUUGCACAAUGGGCGCAAGCCUGAUGCAGCCAUGCCGCGUGUAUGAAGAAGGCCUUCGGGUUGUAAAGUACUUUCAGUCGGGAGGCGUUACCGACAGAAGAAGCACCGGCUAACUCCGUGCCAGCAGCCGCGGUAAUAC
rnacentral:rRNA from 1 species